rnacentral:hammerhead_ribozyme from 1 species
AUUUAGCUGACGAGUCCCAAUUAGAACGAAAUACACGUCCUGGAU